rnacentral:tRNA from 1 species
GGAAAGAUGGCUGAGAGGUCGAAGGCGGCUGAUUCGAAAUCAGUUGUACAGCAAUGUACCGGGGGUUCGAAUCCCUCUCUUUCCG